rnacentral:rRNA from 1 species
GGGGUAAACCUAAAAAACCCAAAAGAUCGAACGGGGAGAUUCAUCGUCAGCGACGUUGGCUUCGCGGGGCCUCGGGGCUCGCAGCGCGGACACGCUGCCGUGCGUCGAUGUCCGGCGUUCGUCCAUUUCUCCCCUAGUAGAACGUCGCGACUCGCUGGGUGUCGAUCUACGGCUUGAGUGCGGUGACCGACGCGUCGCCGGUAAAACGGCAUGCGUCAAACCCUCGGUCGCCUGGCCGGCUGUCCGGCGGUACACGCAAGGUAUCAGGCCGCAUCUCUCAACGAGUGCGUCGAAGCCGUCGCAAGCACGCGCCACGGUACACGGAGGCUAACAGACCUAGCGCCGUCACCGGUCAUGGCCCGCUGUUGGUCGUAUGGUUAACCUUUAACAGGCCUACGAACGUCCUCCCGCAGCGAGUUCGUCCUUGCCCGUGGGACCGAUACCGGUCGGCGACGCUACUGCUUUGGAUACACUGAGGACCCGUCUUGAAACACGGAA